rnacentral:rRNA from 1 species
AUUGAACGCUGGCGGAAUGCUUUACACAUGCAAGUCGGGCGGCAGCGCGGGCAACCUGGCGGCGAGCGGCGAACGGGUGAGUAAUGCAUCGGAACAUGUCCAUGUCGUGGGGGAUAGCCCGGCGAAAGCCGGAUUAAUACCGCAUACGCCCGAGAGGGGAAAGUGGGGACCGCAAGGCCUCACGCGAUUGGGUUGGCCGAUGUCCGAUUAGCUAGUUGGUGGGGUAAAGGCUUACCAAGGCGAUGAUCGGUAGCUGGUCUGAGAGGAUGAUCAGCCACACUGGGACUGAGACACGGCCCAGACUCCUACGGGAGGCAGCAGUGGGGAAUUUUGGACAAUGGGGCGAACCCUGAUCCAGCCAUUCCGCGUGAGUGAAGAAGGCCU